rnacentral:rRNA from 1 species
ACGCUAGCUACAGGCUUAACACAUGCAAGUCGAGGGGAAACGGCAUUGAGUGCUUGCACUCUUUGGACGUCGACCGGCGCACGGGUGAGUAACGCGUAUCCAACCUUCCCAUUACUGUGGGAUAACCUGCCGAAAGGCAGACUAAUACCGCAUAGUCUUCGAUGACGGCAUCAGAUUUGAAGUAAAGAUUUAUCGGUAAUGGAUGGGGAUGCGUCUGAUUAGCUUGUUGGCGGGGUAACGGCCCACCAAGGCUACGAUCAGUAGGGGUUCUGAGAGGAAGGUCCCCCACAUUGGAACUGAGACACGGUCCAAACUCCUACGGGAGGCAGCAGUGAGGAAUAUUGGUCAAUGGACGGAAGUCUGAACCAGCCAAGUAGCGUGCAGGAUGACGGCCCUAUGGGUUGUAAACUGCUUUUGUAUGGGGAUAAAGUUAGGGACGUGUCCCUAUUUGCAGGUACCAUACGAAUAAGGACCGGCUAAUUCCGUGCCAGCAGCCGCGGUAAUACGGAAGGUCCAGGCGUUAUCCGGAUUUAUUGGGUUUAAAGGGAGCGUAGGCUGGAGAUUAAGUGUGUUGUGAAAUGUAGACGCUCAACGUCUGAAUUGCAGCGCAUACUGGUUUCCUUGAGUACGCACAACGUUGGCGGAAUUCGUCGUGUAGCGGUGAAAUGCUUAGAUAUGACGAAGAACUCCGAUUGCGAAGGCAGCUGACGGGAGCGCAACUGACGCUUAAGCUCGAAGGUGCGGGUAUCAAACAGGAUUAGAUACCCUGGUAGUCCGCACAGUAAACGAUGGAUGCCCGCUGUUGGUACCUGGUAUCAGCGGCUAAGCGAAAGCAUUAAGCAUCCCACCUGGGGAGUACGCCGGCAACGGUGAAACUCAAAGGAAUUGACGGGGG